AACGAACGCUGGCGGCGCGCCUAAUACAUGCAAGUCGAGCGAGAAGACGUAGCAAUACGUUUGUAAAGCGGCGAACGGGUGAGGAAUACAUGGGUAACCUACCCUCGAGUGGGGAAUAACUAGCCGAAAGGUUAGCUAAUACCGCGUACGCUCCUUGGACUUCGGUUCAGGGAGGAAAGCGAUACCGUGGGUAUCGCGCUCUUGGAUGGGCUCAUGUCCUAUCAGCUUGUUGGUGAGGUAACGGCUCACCAAGGCUUCGACGGGUAGCUGGUCUGAGAGGACGAUCAGCCACACUGGCACUGCGACACGGGCCAGACUCCUACGGGAGGCAGCAGUAAGGAAUAUUGCGCAAUGGGCGAAAGCCUGACGCAGCGACGCCGCGUGGGGGAGUGAAGGUCUUCGGAUUG
rnacentral:rRNA from 1 species